rnacentral:rRNA from 1 species
GAUGAACGCUGGCGGCGUGCCUAAUACAUGCAAGUCGAGCGAACGGACGAGAAGCUUGCUUCUCUGAUGUUAGCGGCGGACGGGUGAGUAACACGUGGAUAACCUACCUAUAAGACUGGGAUAACUUCGGGAAACCGGAGCUAAUACCGGAUAAUAUUUUGAACCGCAUGGUUCAAAAGUGAAAGACGGUCUUGCUGUCACUUAUAGAUGGAUCCGCGCUGCAUUAGCUAGUUGGUAAGGUAACGGCUUACCAAGGCAACGAUGCAUAGCCGACCUGAGAGGGUGAUCGGCCACACUGGAACUGAGACACGGUCCAGACUCCUACGGGAGGCAGCGGUAGGGAAUCUUCCGCAAUGGGCGAAAGCCUGACGGAGCAACGCCGCGUGAGUGAUGAAGGUCUUCGGAUCGUAAAACUCUGUUAUUAGGGAAGAACAUAUGUGUAAGUAACUGUGCACUUCUUGACGGUACCUAAUCAGAAAGCCACGGCUAACUACGUG